rnacentral:rRNA from 1 species
GAUGAACGCUGGCGGCGUGCCUAAUACAUGCAAGUCGAGCGAACAGGCGAGGAGCUUGCUCCUCUGACGUUAGCGGCGGACGGGUGAGUAACACGUGGAUAACCUACCUAUAAGACUGGGAUAACUUCGGGAAACCGGAGCUAAUACCGGAUAAUAUAUUGAACCGCAUGGUUCAAUAGUGAAAGACGGUUUUGCUGUCACUUAUAGAUGGAUCCGCGCCGCAUUAGCUAGUUGGUAAGGUAACGGCUUACCAAGGCAACGAUGCGUAGCCGACCUGAGAGGGUGAGCGGCCACACUGGAACUGAGACCCGGUCCAGACUCCUACGGGAGGCAGCAGUAGGGAAUCUUCCGCAAUGGGCGAAAGCCUGACGGAGCAACGCCGCGUGAGUGAUGAAGGUCUUCGGAUCGUAAAACUCUGUUAUUAGGGAAGAACAAAUGUGUAAGUAACUAUGCACGUCUUGACGGUACCUAAUCAGAAGGCCACGGCUAACUACGUG